rnacentral:rRNA from 1 species
GAUGAACGCUGGCGGCGUGCCUAAUACAUGCAAGUCGAGCGAACAGAUGAGGAGCUUGCUCCUCUGACGUUAGCGGCGGACGGGUGAGUAACACGUGGAUAACCUACCUAUAAGACUGGGAUAACUUCGGGAAACCGGAGCUAAUACCGGAUAAUAUAUUGAACCGCGUGGUUCAAUAGUGAAAGACGGUUUUGCUGUCACUUAUAGAUGGAUCCGCGCCGCAUUAGCUAGUUGGUAAGGUAACGGCUUACCAAGGCAACGAUGCGUAGCCGACCUGAGAGGGUGAUCGGCCACACUGGAACUGAGACACGGUCCAGACUCCUACGGGAGGCAGCAGUAGGGAAUCUUCCGCAAUGGGCGAAAGCCUGACGGAGCAACGCCGCGUGAGUGAUGAAGGUCUUCGGAUCGUAAAACUCUGUUAUUAGGGAAGAACAAAUGUGUAAGUAACUAUGCACGGCUUGACGGUACCUAAUCAGAAAGCCACGGCUAACUACGUG